rfam:Ciona savignyi cont_5603, whole genome shotgun sequence.
GCCUCUAUAGCUCAGUGGUAGAGCACUGGUCUCGUAAACCAGGGGUCGUGAGUACAAUCCUCACUGGAGGCA